GACGAACGCUGGCGGCGUGCCUAAUACAUGCAAGUUGAGCGCUGAAGGUUGGUACUUGUACCAACUGGAUGAGCAGCGAACGGGUGAGUAACGCGUGGGGAAUCUGCCUUUGAGCGGGGGACAACAUUUGGAAACGAAUGCUAAUACCGCAUAAAAACUUUAAACACAAGUUUUAAGUUUGAAAGAUGCAAUUGCAUCACUCAAAGAUGAUCCCGCGUUGUAUUAGCUAGUUGGUGAGGUAAAGGCUCACCAAGGCGAUGAUACAUAGCCGACCUGAGAGGGUGAUUGGCCACAUUGGGACUGAGACACGGCCCAAACUCCUACGGGAGGCAGCAGUAGGGAAUCUUCGGCAAUGGACGAAAGUCUGACCGAGCAACGCCGCGUGAGUGAAGAAGGUUGUCGGAUCGUAAAACUCUGUUGGUAGAGAAGAACGUUGGUGAGAGUGGAAAGCUCAUCAAGUGACGGUAACUACCCAGAAAGGGACGGCUAACUACGUG
rnacentral:rRNA from 1 species